UACGAAGGGGGCUAGCGUUGCUCGGAAUCACUGGGCGUAAAGGGUGCGUAGGCGGGUCUUUAAGUCAGGGGUGAAAUCCUGGAGCUCAACUCCAGAACUGCCUUUGAUACUGAAGAUCUUGAGUUCGGGAGAGGUGAGUGGAACUGCGAGUGUAGAGGUGAAAUUCGUAGAUAUUCGCAAGAACACCAGUGGCGAAGGCGGCUCACUGGCCCGAUACUGACGCUGAGGUGCGAAAGCCAGGGGAGCAAACGGG
rnacentral:rRNA from 1 species